rnacentral:lncRNA from 1 species
CGGAGGCCAAACGAGCGCAGGGGCCGCGGCGGCCUCCUCUUCUCCAUCUGGAGGAGCAUGGUCGGACGAGCACUGGGAGCCACGGGCGCCUCUCCUAGAGGCGGUGUCGGCCGGAAGGGGCGGCGGCGGCGGACGGCCUGGCCACACGCAGAAGGGGUGGCGGCGGAUCUGGUCGAGCCCGUGCGCUCUCUACCGGACCGUGCCCGUGACCUAUCUUUCGUGGUUUCCCCUCUCCCUAAAUCGCCCCUGACCACCUCGCGUCUUCGCCCAAUCGCCCCUUCGGCC